AGCCCCAUGGAAACCGAUAUGAGGUAAUACCUGCCCAGUGAGUUUUAAACGGCCGCUAAAGCGCUAAGGUAGCAUAAUGAUUUGCCCCUUAAUUGGGGGCUAGAAUGAAAGGUUAAACGGGUUAAAGCUUUCUUAAGUAUAACUCAACAAACUAAACUAUUUGUGAAAAUGCAAAUAUUUUACCGAAAGACCAAAAGACCCUAGGAGCUAUAAUUAACCAUACAACCAGUAUAGCUAAUUUUCAUUGGGGUAAUGUUGGAAAUCCAUCCAAAUAUAAAUAAUAUCGAUCAGGUACUAAUCUAAAUAAGCUACCCUAGGGAUAACAGGCUAAUCUUUUUUAAAAGUCCUAAUUAACAAAAAGAACUAGCACCUCGAUGUUGGCUUAAGAGUAUUUGUAGUGCAGCAACUAUAAUCAAGGGCUUGUUCCGCCCAUAAAUUCU
rnacentral:rRNA from 1 species